CACAUGUCCCCCGGGCCAGGAGCUGAUCCCGGAGGAAGGCCACUGCUGCCCCACCUUCCGAUGCCGUGAGCCCGGCGGGGCGGCGCGGGGCGGGGCGGCGCGGGGCGGCGCGGGGCGGGGCGGGGCGGGGCGGGGCGGGGCGGGGCGGGGAGGGGCGGGGCGGGGCGGGGCGGGGCGGGGCGGGGCGGAGUCAGGCUGGGAGGGCUCUGCCAGCCACACUCGGCCCCUUUCUUCCAGAGCCCAGACUCUGCGAGUACAACGGCACCAUCUAUGGGGUUGGUGCAACCUUCCCAGCGCUCUCUCCCUGCCACACGUGCACCUGCCUCUCCGGGCCCAGCCAGGAGCCGGUCGUGCAGUGUGAAGAGCGCACCUGCAGCCCCU
rnacentral:lncRNA from 1 species